UGCCUUCUCUGCUGCUGCUGCUGCUCUUGCUUCUGCUGCUGCUGGAGGAGAUGUGGCCAGUGCACUGCAAUCACACGAGCGGCAGCAGCUGCAGCGCAGGGAUCUCUGUCUCUCUCUUCAGUCUGAUACCGGGGGGCAAUGAUCAGCUGACACUUUCCUGCUGCUGCCGGGGGACUGUGCCCACCACACUCUGUGGCCCCUGGAGAAUGGUCUGAGCACAGGGGGGCAUCUUUUAAACUUCUUGGGAGCUUGGAAGAUGAGCACAGAGAUCACCAAACCUACUCUAGCACCAAAGCCCCAAGGUCUUGACUCAUUCAGUUCAGUGCCUCUUCCUAAGUACUCCUCACCAUUGAUCUCAAGAGCUGGCCUCGUUCGUCAAACAAACUCAAUGUCAAGGGGUCCAAAACCCCCUAUUGCUCCAAAGCCUGUGCUGUCACCUUCCUCAGAAAGACGAUCCACAGUGAAUGCUAAUAAUUUCUUUAAUAAAUGUGCUAAUGGGAAAGUGGUUUGUCCUGUGGAAAAUAUUUCAAAUACUGAUCAAUACAGUCUGGAGUCUGGCACACCGGACAUGACAUUUGAGGAUUACAGCACUGUUCCUGACUCCCAGUUUACAGAUGAAGAAAACACUGAUAUUGAAUGUGAACACAGCUCUUCAUUUGAUACAUGGGAAACCCAUCAAGAAGAAGUUGAUAUAAGUGAUAACAAGAGCUGCAGUCCCUCGGGAGUACAAGAAGAAGACAGUGGAAACCCAGACAGUGUUCCUUCAAGAGAGGUGGAAUCAGGAGAAUCUACAGAAUUAGAAGACAGUGACAACACCGAUGCUUUAAGCUUGAGAUCGUCAUCCACUGCAGAUGCAGACAGCUUGGUGCCUCAUACUGGGUGUGAGACUUUGUUGUUUAAAAAUGACCUUGGGGAUAUUGAGGAUUUUUUGCCAUUGGAUCACAAUGAGUGCAACACAGAAAACAAAGCAAAUGACAAAAAUCUGAAGAUCAUGGGUUGUGAUGAUGUUAUUCUGACAGAGGUAUAUUUUGAGGAACUCCCCGUGGAUGAAACCUGUUGUGAAGAAGAUGCAAACACUGAAGAGACUCCUUGCAAGGAACAUGAUGAAUCUCCAGUAUCGACAGAAGUGGAUUUAGUAAAUGUUGAAUCAUUGGAGAACUCUAUAGUCUGUGACAAUGCCCAGUGUGGUGAGGCUGCAGAGACUGAGCAGGAUUUAGUUGCAGAAUCUUUAGAUAAUUUCCAGUUGACUGAGGACAUUGCUGAUUUAGUGAAUGAUGAUGGACAAGACUCAUUUACUCAUACUAAUGAAUUGUCAUUGUGUAAUUUACCUUCCUUUGGUGAUGAGGAAGGAGAGCAAGAGGCAGAUACAACACAUGAAAUGAAUGAGUUGGCAGCAAACAAUAUAAUAUUAGAUAAUGAAAAAAUAAUUACAAACAUUUUAAAGUCAAGUGAAGACACAGCACAUGAGGACAGCAUAGAUGAUAGUUGUCUAAUUGUACCUUAUGAAAAUGAAGGUUCUGAAGAACCAGAUGAGACUUUGGAAGCAAUGGUGGCUUUGGAGAAUGGUUUGGACAUUAACCCUGUUUCAGAACCUCUACUAGAGACUGUGACUGAUGACACAGAAUGUUUUUCUGACGACAGUUGUUGUAACAGAAAACUGGAAACCACUGAUGCACAGGUCACAUUUACAGGUGCUGCAGAGGGAAAUGAUUGGUGUGAUGAAGAACCAUCUGCUGUUAGUCAUGUUACAGUAACUGAAGUGGAUUUAGCUGACACCACAGACUACUCAACUGAAGAUCAGGAAAGGGAGGUUAAAGAGAUGGACUCAACAGAUGUUUUACCAGUGACUGAGGUAAUCACUGAGCCCGAGGAGGAGGAUGAAGCCAAUCCUUAUGUUCUUGAGGAUAGUGCACAGUCAAGAAGCAGAAAGCUGCUCAGUGCUAAAGAGUCUGCACAUAACAGAAAUGAUGGUGAUACACAGAGACCUUAUUGCACAGGUGAGAAAAAUGGCUGUGAAGGGGAAAAUCAUUUACUCAAUGUAGACAGGAAAAACAUUGUAACAAGAACCAGGUCCUAUUCUGGAAAAAUUCCUGGAAAUGUGCCUGAGACUGUGCCAGAAGAAACUGGGGCAGAGUUUGACUCCCAGUUGUCAAACAGUGAGAAAAAAGCCAUACGUGAAAAGAUGGACAAAAAGCCAAUUGAAGCAGGCAGAGCACUACCCAGGAAGCCAAGUCGUUUUAUUCCCUACCCUCGCUCCUACUCAGUGGAAGGCAGGGAGAACACAGUCUCGCUUUAUAUAGAAUCUGAUAUGGUGGUCAAUUUUUCCUCCCCUUAUCUCAUUAGUUCAUCUGGGAGCUUUUCACAAAGAAAUCAUCACUCAUCUAGUGGGAUGUCCACUCCCUCUUCUGUUGUAGACAUUCCACCUCCCUUUGAGCUUGCGAGUAUUACAAAGAAACCAAUCACUAAAAGCUCACCAUCACUAUUAAUUGAGAAUGAGUGUUCUGAGAAAUGCAAUAAGAAGAAAAAGUUGUCCUUUAAACGUUUCCUCACUUUGAAGUUCAAGAAAAAGACGGAGAACAAAGUUCAUGUAGAGGUCAAUGUAUCUUCACCCAGGUCAUCUUCAGAGUCAAGUUACCAUGGAGCAGCUAGACACAUGGACACGGACAGAAGAAGCCUUGGUAACUCCCCGCAGCUGCAAGCCCGUUCUGGAUUACACUUCCGUCCAGAUUCCCCAUCGGCCAUGCUUUUCUAUAAGGAUAUGAAGAGAAAAGGAACAUCAAAAGCCUUUAACAGAAGUGUGGCUAGGGUUGAAUCCUUCGAAGAUCGAUCAAGGCCACCAUUCAUGCCACUGCCCUUAACCAAACCCAGGUCCAUCUCUUUUCCUAAUGCUGAUACCUCAGAUUAUGAAAAUAUCCCAGCUAUGAACUCAGACUAUGAAAAUAUUCAGAUCCCACCACAGCGGCCAGCCAGAGCUGGAACAUUCACUGAAUUCUUUGAAGAUCCAUGCAGGGCCCUGUCCUCAGCCAAUGAGAAUGAUGGAUAUGUUGAUAUGAGCAGCUUCAACACCUUUGAAAUCAAGCAGCUGACAGCUGACCAGGAAGCUGAAAGUGCUUACACCGAGCCAUACAAAGUCUGCCCCAUCCUUGCCAGCACCGUAGAAGACAUUACUUCUGAUGAAGAACCAAAGAGCUCUGAAGAGGAGGGGAAUUGUCUAGGGGAGCCUGGAGUGGUUCAGAAGAAGGAUGGCCCAAUGAGAGCUCUGAACAUCAUAGAAGGUCUGUUGUCAUCUGAGAAAGAGUACGUUGACAUGUUAAAGCGUCUGCACAUUGAGUUUCACACGGCUGUGCUCCGAGUGCUGGGAAGUGAAGAGGAGGAUGGGGAGGAUGAACUCAAACUACGCCACGGAUUGAGUGGACUUCUGAACAUUUACCUUCUUCACGAGGAAAUUCUGGCUGAGCUGGAGCUAAGGAUAUCACACUGGGAGGAAAGCCAGAAGAUAGCAGACAUAUUCCUGAGCCGCAAGUCCGACUUCCAGCACCACACAGCCUUCAUUGUGGCAUUUGAUAAGAUGACAGCUGCCCUGGAUGACUGCACCAUUAAAACCUCUUACUUGGCAACAGUUGUAAGAGACUUUGAGAGGUAUCUCCAUCGUGGCCAAGCUAAUGUGAAGCAUGAACUGCUGAAGGUGGUGCAGAGAAUCUUCCAGUAUCAUAUGAUCCUUACAGACUACCUGAAUAACCUGUGCCCAGACUGGGCGGAGUAUGAAGACACCCUCGCUGCCCUGAUGAUAGUGUCAGAAGUUGCUGACCGAGCCAAUGACAGCAUGAGACAAGGGGAAAACCUCCAGAAACUGGUACAAAUUGAGCACAGUGUCAGGGGUCAGAGAAGCCUUCUCCAGCCUGGGAGGGAAUUCGUGAAAGAAGGAACUCUAAUGAAAGUUUCUGGAAGAAACAAACACCCUCGGCAUUUGUUCUUGAUGAAUGAUGUUUUGCUCUAUACCUACCCACUGAAGGAUGGCAAAUACCGUCUGAAGAACACCCUCUCAAUUCCAGGAAUGAGGGUUAGUCGCCCCAUUGUGGAGAAUGCGCAAAAUGUGCUUAAAGUUGAAUGUAUGGAACGUUGCCUUAUGCUGUCUGCAAGCUCGUGUACAGAGAGGGAUGAAUGGUAUAGCUGUAUCAGCAGAACUGUGCAGGAAUAUUACAAAGCUCCCACUGUAUCUAUCUACAACAACCUAGAGAUUAGGGAAAGACUGGGAAUGGGCUUGGGUGAGAGACCUCCGAGCGUGGCCCAUAUGUCGCAUGCUGUGAUGUGUAUGAAUUGUGGCAGUGACUUUAGCCUAACGCUAAGGCGACAUCACUGUCACGCUUGUGGCAAGAUUGUGUGUCGCAGUUGCUCAAGAAACAAAUACCCGCUGAAGUACCUCAAAGAUCGACCGUCAAAAGUGUGUGAUGGCUGCUUCGCGGAACUACGCAAAAGAGACCUAGCAGCGAUGAACAUGAACGCCUCACCACUCUUACCCAGAUCCACCAGCACGUUGUCAACCAUGUUUCACAGCAUUCACCCGUCUUACUUUAGAAGACAAAAGAAAAUCCCUUCUGCUCUGAUGGAGGUAGGGCCAAGGCUGUCUGAUAAAAGGCUGCAGCAUCAGGAGAGAAUUCCUCAAUUUGUGGCUAUCUGCAUUGGUGCAAAAAAGGCAAAAAAUACUGGAAAAAACGUUGGUUUGUUAUUAAGGGCAAAGUCCUCUACACCUACACAGCAUGUGAGGAUAAAGUUGCCACGGAAAGUUUACCUCUAUUAGGUUUCCACAUUGUGCCUGACAACUGGAAUGAGAAACCCAAACUGGGCACUGUGUUCCAGCUUUACCACAAAAAGACCUUGUUUUAUAGCUUCAAAGCAGCGGAUACUAAUGCUGCAAUCAGGUGGGUUGAAGCCAUAAAAGCUGCAUCUGUAUUAUAACAUUAACUAAUGAUGGGCCGCAAGGAGUCCAGCAAACAAUAUCAGGAUUUAUUUUCUACCCUGGGAAUCGAGUUCUCUAUUACUUCAGGAGUCUCCGACAUUCGGCUAAUGCUGCACUCAGACUGGAACCUCUUGGCCUCUACCGCCGUAUUUAGUAUUUUACCUUCUUUUUUAUUCAAAGGCUGGGGAUGGACAUGAGGCGAAACAUUCCUAGCAAUAACUGCACCAAAUAAAAUGGCAUUGCCACAUUUAUAAUACACUUUACUUUUAAAAACAAAGACCUUUUUCUCAGUGGGGAGGAGCUUGAAAUAAAGGCUGCAAAGCCAAAAUUUGUUAAUGGUUAUGGGUUUUACAUUUUGUUCCAAUGAUCAGUUCUUCCACAAGUUUAUGAACUUACUCUCAUAUAGAGGCACUUUUUGAUGCUGUUCCUGUUGGAAUACCGACCAGUCGACCCAGGCAAUUGUUUAAACGUUCUGAUUGGCUGCAGAUUCUAGUCCUGCCCACUUGGAAAUUACCCAUACAAAGACAACAACAUCUAUAUGGACUCAUAUUUUUAUUUUUUUUUGCAUUUUUAACAAAGAGUGAUGUGAACCUGUUUUAGCAAAAAGACACAGUGGUGAAUCAGAUGACGUCUCCCUCCUGUUGUGUGUGAACUGUUACAUUGGAAACCAGCCGUCCAGAUUUAAACCAACAUUAAGAAACAUGAAGCCUUUCAAAUACAAAUUAUUGCUAUGUGAAAGAGUAUUUUGUACCAUUCACUAAUGUGUAUAUAUACUAUACAGUUCUCAAUGCCUUGACAGUACCUAAUAUAUUUCAGAUUGCAUACGCUGUUUCUCAUUGGUUAAUUGCACUGGUGUGUGCCCUCCUGCUCCUGGUCAAGCAAAGUGAUAUUUGGGGGCUGGUGGCGAUUGCAAAGCUCCUGCUGUGCUGGUCAUGUCGAGGAGGGCCCGGAUCAUUUUGUUAUCAAGGGCCCCAAGAUGUCUGAUGGCAGCCCUGCUAUAAUACAAUUACAUGUUACUGAGAGUCCCAAUAUGGUGCUGAGGAACAGGAAAUGGGCAGUGCAAAGGAUCAUUGUUCUGCUGAAAGGAAACCUAAAAAGGAAACAGCAAAUGCAUUAUAUUGUUUACAAGUAACUGACAGUAUUUUGAGCCUUAACUGAACUAAAAUAAAGACUGUUCCUUCCCAACAUGUUAUGAAGACACAAGGUUCACUUAUUUUAAGGUCAACAAGGACGUGUAUAAAUAAAUAUGUUUAACAGUGA